rnacentral:rRNA from 1 species
CCACCUCCCACCCAUGUUUAUUGUACCUUGUUGCUUCGGCGGGCCCGCCUCACGGCCGCCGGGGGGCUUCUGCCCUCUGGCCCGCGCCCGCCGAAGACACCAUUGAACACUGUCUGAAGAUUGCAGUCUGAGCAAUUAGCUAAAUAAGUUAAAACUUUCAACAACGGAUCUCUUGGUUCCGGCAUCGAUGAAGAACGCAGCGAAAUGCGAUACGUAAUGUGAAUUGCAGAAUUCAGUGAAUCAUCGAGUCUUUGAACGCACAUUGCGCCCCUUGGUAUUCCGGGGGGCAUGCCUGUCCGAGCGUCAUUGCUGCCCUCAAGCACGGCUUGUGUGUUGGACCCCGUCCUCCUUCCCGGGGGACGGGCCCGAAAGGCAGCGGCGGCACCGCGUCCGGUCCUCGAGCGUAUGGGGCUUUGUCACCCGCUCUUGUAGGCCCGGCCGGCGCUUGCCGACAACCAUCAAUCUUUUUUCAGGUUGACCUCGGAUCAGGUAGGGAUACCCGCUGAACUUAAGCAUAUCAAUAGGCGGAGGAA